AGUAAGGAGAGUUACAUGGUGAGGCCAGGAUGAAUGAGGGCUAAGGGAGGGUAGAAGGGUAUUGCUAGGACCGUUUCACUCAUGAUCUGGAAAGCAAAGAGAGCUACAUGAAGGCAAGGUCAGGAUGAAUGAGGGCUAAGGGAGGGUAGAAGGGUAUUGCUACGACCAUUUCACUCAUGAUCUGGAAAGCAAAGAGAGCUACAUGAAGGCAAGGUCAGGAUGAAUGAGGGCCAAAGGAGGGUAGGAAGGUAUUUAAUGGAGCUUCAGAAUAUCAUAGAGGGAAGUUAUGAUGAUUUCAGACAUUAUAUUGUUAUCUUACCACUAGGCAGCAGUGAGCAUAUAUUCUUUCUCCUUUUCGUUUAACAUCAUUAUUUUUCCUUAUGGGGUUGGAUGGGCUAUUUAAUCUCCUAUUCUUGACAAGCAGUGACCAUGUACAGUGCUAGAUCACAUGUUUGAAGUGGGCAAGUUAGAUGAAGUGAAGCAUUGUUGUGUUUGUAUCCAGAAGGGUUGGGGAUUAAAGAAAGGGAAAAGAACAGGUAUAGGACAGUGGUAAAUUACUUGAGUGUGUCCAGAAGGGUUGGGGAGUAAAGAAAGGGAAAAGAACAGGUGUAGGACAGUGGUAAAUUACUUGAGUGUGUCCAGAAGGGUUGGGGAGUAAAGAAAGGGAAAAGAACAGGUGUAGGACAGUGGUAAAUUACUUGAGUGUAUCCAGAAGGUUUGGGGAUUAAAGAAAGGGAAAAGAACAGGUAUAGGACAGUGGUAAAUUACUUGAGUGUAUCCAGAAGGGUUGGGGAGUAAAGAAAGGGAAAAGAACAGGUGUAGGACAGUGGUAAAUUACUUGAGUGUAUCCAGAAGGGUUGGGGAGUAAAGAAAGGGAAAAGAACAGGUGUAGGACAGUGGUAAAUUACUUGAGUGUAUCCAGAAGGGUUGGGGAGUAAAGAAAGGGAAAAGAACAGGUGUAGGACAGUGGUAAAUUACUUGAGUGUAUCCAGAAGGGUUGGGGAGUAAAGAAAGGGAAAAGAACAGGUAUAGGACAGUGGUAAAUUACUUGAGUGUGUCCAGAAGGGUUGGGGAGUAAAGAAAGGGAAAAGAACAGGUGUAGGACAGUGGUAAAUUACUUGAGUGUAUCCAGAAGGGUUGGGGAGUAAAGAAAGGGAAAAGAACAGGUGUAGGACAGUGGUAAAUUAUUUGAGUGAUGGCUCUUAUGUGCACUCCCUUGGCAUUUGGUUCCGACUCCCCCUCGUCCACAUUUUUGGGGGAUGACUGGACAGCCUCUUGAUUCCCUUCCUUC